rnacentral:tRNA from 1 species
GGGGCUGCGGCUCAGUGGUAGAGCGCUCACCUGGCAUGUGUGAGGCACUGGAUUCAAUCCUCAGCACCA